UGGCCCACGCUGGCUCCACCUCUUAUAGGAAACCGAUUGAUGUUGGAUGGACAAAUGCUAUUGAUUGCAGAUUCUGGAUAUACCUGAUAUUAUGUUGUCUAAUUUGUUUUGCAUAGCCUAUUUGUUGAUGUUGGUUAAGUUUGUGAUACUGAGUUGUAUAGCGUUGAGGAUAUGAAUGUUUUGUCUGUAUUGAUGAGGCUUGUUGUCUCUGUUAUGUACAAUGUAAGUGAGGUAUUUUACCUUUUAUUGUUGUACAGUAAUUCAACAAUAAAAUUCCUUAUUGAUUAAAAAAAUGUCUAAAUUAAAAAUUUAAAGGGUAAAUUAUAUUUUCGUAUUUAAAAUUUAGCACAAUUAACGGAUAAAUUUUUAUAUUUUUAAAAUUAAACGCUUAAAUCU
rnacentral:lncRNA from 1 species